rnacentral:rRNA from 1 species
UACGUAGGUGGCAAGCGUUGUUCGGAAUUAUUGGGCGUAAAGGGCGCGUAGGCGGUUGGUUAAGUCAGCUGUGAAAGCCCGGGGCUCAACCCCGGAGGGUCGGCUGAUACUGAUUGACUAGAGUACGGAAGAGGUAGCUGGAAUUCCCGGUGUAGUGGUGAAAUGCGUAGAUAUCGGGAGGAACACCAGUGGCGAAGGCGACUACCUGGCCUGUUCUUGACGCUGAGGCGCGAAAGCUAGGGGAGCAAACGGG